rnacentral:rRNA from 1 species
AUACGGAGGGGGUUAGCGUUGUUCGGAAUUACUGGGCGUAAAGCGCACGUAGGCGGAUUGGAAAGUUGGGGGUGAAAUCCCAGGGCUCAACCCUGGAACUGCCUCCAAAACUAACAGUCUAGAGUUCGAGAGAGGUGAGUGGAAUUCCAAGUGUAGAGGUGAAAUUCGUAGAUAUUUGGGGGAACACCAGUGGCGAAGGCGGCUCACUGGCUCGAUACUGACGCUGAGGUGCGAAAGCGUGGGGAGCAAACAGGAUUAGAAACCCGAGUAGUCC